UACGGGGGGGGCAAGCGUUGUUCGGAAUUACUGGGCGUAAAGGGCUCGUAGGUGGCCAACUAAGUCGGACGUGAAAUCCCCAGGCUUAACCUGGGAACUGCGUCGGAUACUGGAUGGCUUGAAUUCGGGAGAGGGAUGCAGAAUUCCAGGUGUAGCGGUGAAAUGCGUAGAUAUCUGGAGGAAUACCGGUGGCGAAGGCGGCAUCCUGGACCGGUAUUGACGCUGAGGCGCGAAAGCCAGGGGAGCAAACGGG
rnacentral:rRNA from 1 species